GCCCCAAUAGCUCAGUCGGUCAGAGCAGCGGACUCAUAAUCCGUAGGUCGUCGGUUCAAGCCCGACUUGGGGCACCA
rnacentral:tRNA from 1 species